CUCCUUUUCCUUUUACCUGACCUGAGUUCAGAGCUGAGGGUCUGGCAGAUGGUGCUCAGACUCUCUUGUAGAGAGUACUUGGCUGUACAACAUGUGUGCUUCACCCUGAAUUACGAAGAGUUCCCUAAUCAGGAGCAGAGGCUCAUCUGAGCUAUCUGAUCAUGCUGGAGGGAGAUUGGCUCCGAAGACAGGAUGAGCAGCUAGACUCCAUGAAGCAUUUCUCCCCUAGAAAGACUUAAAAGAUUUAAAAGAAAAAAACCAGGCCAAAUAGGUCACUGUCUGAGCUGGUAAAUAUGUGGUCUUUCCUGGGUGCAGGAUUAUGAACCUGGCCAGGAGUUCCCGGGCCGCACCAUGCAUCAGCCGGAGGUCAGGGUGGGGAAUGGGAAGAGCUUAUUAAAAAUCCUUAUUCC
rnacentral:lncRNA from 1 species